CAAAGGGAAAGGAAAGGAAACGUCUACAAAUAAAUUAAUUAUUUGUUUAGUGAAUAUUUAAUAAAAAAUAUUAAAGAGAUAAAUGAUGAUUAUGUGAAGAAAUAACCAAGGAAAAUGAUAAGUCUUUGGUAUCCAAGUCAUUUUAAUUUUAAUUCCUAUCUAUUCAUCUUCCAAUGAAAUGUUCACGUGAAGAAAUAACAAGGGAAAGGAAUAGUGUGGUAGUAAAUUAAUUAUUUGUUCAAUGAAUAUCUAAUAAAAUGAUGAUUAAAUAGAUAAAUUACUCACUUUAAUUUGUUUCAUCUUAACAUUAUGGAUAUUUUUAUAAUAAGUAAUAUUAUUAUCAAUAUUUUUAUAUACAAACAAAUUUACAUUCUUUAACGAAUUUAAAAAAAAUCGAACUGAAAACCAUACUGUCUAUGCCU
rnacentral:lncRNA from 1 species